rnacentral:rRNA from 1 species
GAUGAACGCUGGCGGCGUGCCUAAUACAUGCAAGUCGAGCGAACAGACGAGGAGCUUGCUCCUCUGACGUUAGCGGCGGACGGGUGAGUAACACGUGGAUAACCUACCUAUAAGACUGGGAUAACUUCGGGAAACCGGAGCUAAUACCGGAUAAUAUAUUGAACCGCAUGGUUCAAUAGUGAAAGACGGUUUUGCUGUCACUUCUAGAUGGUUCCGCGCCGCAUUAGCUAGUUGGUAAGGUAACGGCUUACCAAGGCUACGAUGCGUAGCCGACCUGAGAGGGUGAUCGGCCACACUGGAACUGGGACACGGUCCAGACUCCUACGGGAGGCAGCAGUAGGGAAUCUUCCGCAAUGGGCGAAAGCCUGACGGAGCAACGCCGCGUGAGUGAUGAAGGUCUUCGGAUCGUAAAACUCUGUUAUUAGGGAAGAACAAAUGUGUAAGUAACUAUGCACGUCUUGACGGUACCUAAUCAGAAAGCCACGGCUAACUACGUG